rnacentral:rRNA from 1 species
UAGUAACGGCGAGUGAAGCGGGAAGAGCUCAAGCUUAAAAUCUCUGUGCAAGUUUUGCAUGGCGAAUUGUAGUCUAUGGAUGCGCUAUCAGUGCAGCCGCGCGGGCCAAGUUCCUUGGAAGAGGACAGCAUGGAGGGUGAUACUCCCGUUCCUGCCUGUGCGUGUUGUGCGUACGAUGCGUUUUCUUUGAGUCGCGUUGUUUGGGAAUGCAGCGCAAAGUAGGUGGUAAAUUCCAUCUAAAGCUAAAUAUUGGUGCGAGACCGAUAGCGAACAAGUACCGUGAGGGAAAGAUGAAAAGAACUUUGAAAAGAGAGUUAAAGAGUACCUGAAACUGCUGAAAGGGAACCGGGUCGUUGCCAGUGUCUAUAAUCUGCGGCAUAUUUCAUUGUCGGAUGCGGCCGUGCGGCGCGUUUGGUAGUGGGUUCGUCCUGCACCGCGUGUUGCUGUGGUUGCGUUUGGUGGUGCCCUGUGCUGUGGUGGGACGUCAGAGUCAGUUCGUGUGCUGCGGGAAAUGGCUGCUGGGGAGGUAGGUCGGGGGUUCGCCCUCGGCUGUUAUAUCCUGGCGGACUAGUCGUCGUGGUUGGGACUGAGGUGCCUACAACGUGCUUUUGAGUGCGGAGGUUUCUUCGUUUGCGCGUCGGUUGGAUAGCUUGCUAUGCAGUUGGCGUUGUGUGCGGAUGGAUGUCUUUGCUAACUUGUUGCCGUUCGGGACUUUGACGAAAUGGCGCGAUCCGACCCGUCUUGAAACACGGACCAAGGAGUCUAACAUGUGUGCAAGUGUUAGGGUGUGGAAACCCGAGCGCGAAAUGAAAGUAAAGGGCAGUGUAUGCUGCCUGAGGUAGGAAACCUUUGCUCGUCAGGGGUGGCACUAUCGACCGAUCAUGAACCUUCGUGGUGAAAGAUUUGAGUAUGAGCACAUAUGUUGGUACCCGAAAGAUGGUGAACUAUGCCUGAGUAGGGUGAAGCCAGGGGAAACUCUGGUGGAAGCUCGUAGCGAUUCUGACGUGCAAAUCGAUCGUCAAACUUGGGUAUAGGGGCGAAAGACUAAUCGAACCAU